rnacentral:rRNA from 1 species
UACGGAGGAUCCGGGCGUUAUCCGGAAUUACUGGGUUUAAAGGGUGCGUAGGCGGGGCUUUAAGCCGGCGGUGAAAUGCAGCGGCUCAACCGCUGGAAUGCCGUUGGGACUGGGGCUCUUGGAUACGGUCGGGGCGGGUGGAACUCGUGGUGUAGCGGUGAAAUGCAUAGAUAUCACGGGGAACGCCGGUAGCGAAGGCAGCUCGCCGGGCCGGUAUUGACGCUGAGGCACGAAAGCGUGGGGAUCGAAC